rnacentral:tRNA from 1 species
GAGCGGGGGCUCAGUGGGUAGAGUGUUUGUCUAGCAAGCACAAAGCCUUCCGUUCAAUCCCCAACCUGCUUG